AUAUAUUUCCUUUGGACAUCAAAUCUGUGUGGGAAGGCAUGGAAGAAUGCAAAACUCUUGGCCUUACUAAGGCUAUUGGUGUCAGCAAUUUUUCUUGUAAGAAACUCGAGGAGCUUCUCUCCACUGCUAAAAUUCCUCCAGCUGUAAAUCAGGCGAGUGGAAAAUUAUUUAAGAGAAAAAAAAGAAAAGAAAUGAGUGUUGUUAUUUUUUCACAUAAUUUUUUUUUUAAGUUGCAGGUGGAGAUGAACCCACUUUGGCAGCAGAAGCAACUGAGGGAGUUUUGCAAGGGAAAAGGUAUUCAUAUCACAGCUUACUCACCGUUGGGUGCAAAUGGAACUAAAUGGGGUGACAACAGAAUUCUAGAAUGUGAUGUGCUUCAACAAAUUGCCAAGGCAAAAGGCAAGACUACAGCUCAGGUACUUAUUACACCCAAAAUAUUUAUCAUCUAUAGAUCUUAAUAUAAACACAUGGAAUUUCAGGUGAAUCCACCAUAUAUUUCAAUAUUACAUAAAUUUUUUUAUAAGCGAAAAGAUUGAAAAGGACAAAAAACACUAAAAUGACCCAAGUUAAGAAAAGAUAUAAAUUUUUUUUUAAACUUUAAUUCCGAAAAAAUGGUUAGCUUUCUUGUUUGUUUUUCUUAUUUCACUUCCACAAGUUUUGUAAAUAAAAUAAAAUGAAGGUUUCGCUGAGAUGGGUGCAUGAGCAAGGUGUGAGUUUGGUGGCAAAAAGUUUCAACAAGGAGAGGAUGAAGGAGAACCUCCAGAUCUUUGAUUGGUCGUUGACUGAAGAGGAGUCGAACAAGAUCAGUAACCUUCCUCAACGCAAAGGAGUUCUAUCGGCCAACAUUCUAGGCCCACACGAUUUUAGUCUAGAGCUUGAUGCAGAGAUAUGAAUCCCAAUAAUUGCUGGUCUAAUUUUAAGCCUAUUAGAAAUAGACAAUAUUUUAGUGGUAUUUUAUGUUUUAAAUAAUUAAUUUGAAAUUUUAAUAAUUCCGCUGUUUUAAUAUAUAUAUAUAUAUAUAUAUAUAUAUAUAUAUAUAUAUGAAUUUCAAUGUCCUCUGGUUGUUAAUGUCUGAUAGUUUCUGUAUGAUUUAAUUUAUAAUUUUUUGUUAACAUUUUUCAAAAUAAAUAUUAUUUUAUUUUGAUUUUAUUUAUUAUUUAAAAGGGUAGAACAGCUUAAUGAAAAGAAUGAGGUGUAAAGUAUAUAUUUGUUCUUUCUAUAUAUAUAUAUAUAUAUAUAUAAAUAAUAAUUAUUUUUUUUCCAAAAAUGUAGAUAUUCAUUACUAAAAAUAUAAAUUAUAAUAUAUGUAACAGCCCGGAAACCGAAUUGCUAUCGGCAUUAGGAUUCAGAUCGACUUAAGGUCACCGGGACCCGUAGUAAGCCUGUUAUACUGUCUGUGUACCUGUGAAAUCUCAUACAUGAUCAAACAUUCCAGUAACUCAUUAAAACUUUUCUGUACAGGGCUUAACCUGACCCUUCUCGAGAAUUCCGACACCCGAGAUUCCACCAGAUGACAGGAAUUCUGAGGCCGGACUCGAGCCGGGUAUUACAAUAUAUAAGUCCAGAAAUUUAAAAAAUUAAUUAUUUUUUUUCAUUUAUUGAAUUUAGAGAGAAGNNNNNNNNNNNNNNNNNNNNNNNNNNNNNNNNNGUUGUCGAAGAAGAGUGGUGGCCAAAGUACUUCGGCCAUCAUGUGUUGAGGCUCACCUUAGUAACAUGUAAGCCGAUACAGGCUCCAAGUAGUAAAUCACCAUGUAAAUAUUAAAGCCAUUCUAUUGAUCUAAGCCUUUCAAACUGGAUUUGCAAAAAUAAAGAAAUUCUUUCCAAAAACUCACUUGCGCCCUAAGAAAAAAUCAGAAAAUAAAUGGAAAAUCUGAAACUAACAAAAGAAAAGAAAAAUAAAACAUUCACAUAAGGAGGGCAAACCCACAGAUUAGUUGGAGAAACUACAAGACCGACAAGAAGAGAAUAAAUGCACCAUUACACUCCAAUGAUGGUAAAGGAAAUCAGCACUGCAUUUAACUAUUUUAACUAAUAUAAUAAAUGCACGUAUCGAUUUUUUUAAAUUAAAAAUUAAAAAUUAAGUGUAAAAUCUAAAAUAUCUCAUAUUUAUUCGACUAAACCUGUGAAAAUACCUUAUAAAAAAUAUUUUUUCUGUAUAACUCUGUAAAUAAAUGAAACCUUAAAUUACAAAUUUAUUCUUUUUGAAAUAAUUACAUUAAAAAAUUGCUUUAUAGCAGAUAGAAAAAUUAAGCCUUUUAAUUUAGGUAUGUCUCUUAGCUUAUAAAAUAGUCAAAGUUAGAUGAAUUAUUUGUUUAUAACAUUUUUUAAAUUUAUAAAUUAAGAAAAAAGUUGAGAAAUACUAAAUUUAUAAGAUGGUUUGACCAAGUAAAUUAUCAUAUCCUCUUCAUUAAAUUUUAAAACUUUAUCAUAUAUUUUAUUUAUCAUCUUUAGUAAUUUUAAUAAUAAAUGUAUUUAAGCACUCACAUAUUUAGUUUGAUGGUAAAUAUAUUUGAGUAGAUUUAAGAGAUUUCAGGUUAUACUCCUCCAAUUUUUAAUUCUAUUUUCAGUUUAAAAAAAUAAAUAAAUGUAUUUAAAAGCUAAUUAUCACUAAAUAUAUCAAUUGUUUAUCACCUACUUAUAUAAGCAUUUUAACCAAAAAUUUAAUUAUUUAAAAUUUAAAAUACUUAUAAGCUUUAAAUAACUUAUAAGCUAAUCUAAACACCCUCCUAAUUUCAUAUUUAAUGUUAAAAUAAAUCAUUUUUAUUAGGAAAAUAAUAAUGGAAAUCUCUAUCUAAAAUAUAUUAUUACUUUUAUUAGAAUUAUAUUAUAGGAAUAAAAAAAUUAUUUAAAUUUCAACUAUAAAAUGUCACAUGUAUUUUAGGUCCAUAAAUUUUAUUUAAUGAUUAUUUUAAUUAAAUUAAUUUCUAUAAAUAAAUUCAUUUAAAUAUUUAUAAUAUAAAUUGACUAAUUAAAAUUAUCAUGUCAUCAUCCAAUUAAAAGAGUCAAGUCAACCAAUAAAAUAGUGAUAUUUAUCAAAAAUCAAUCAGCUUCCUCCCAAAUUCUCUAUAAAUAGAGAUCCUCCUCAAAUGAGAAAAAAAAAAAAGAAGAGGAUCAAAUCUCGAGCUACAGAAACUCUUUCAAAACUAAAAGCUACUAACUUUACUCAAGUUUCAAGACUAUAAAAUCUAUAAGUUCCCAUUCUCCAAAUCGACAGAGUCAUUUUACUAAUUCAAAAACAAACUUUUUAACUCUUUGAAUUAUAAAUGUCAAAGGAGAAUCUACCGGUUCUACAAAAAUUAUUAACUCUACAAAAAUUUCAUCAAAGUUUCAAGACUAUCAAAUCUACAAGUCCAUCUUCCCCACAUCGAAGAGGUCUUCUCUAACAAUUCGAGAAUAAGUUUUUCAAGUCCUUGAAUCACAAGUGUCAAAAGAGAGAAUCCAUCAGCUCUAAAGAAAUUUCAUCUAAGUUUCAAGACUACCAAAUCUACAAGUUUUUGUUCCCCAAAUCGAAGAAAUCUUCUCUACCGAUUCAAGAACAAGUUUUUCAAAUUUUUGAAUUGCACGAGUAAAAAAAAAUAUUCAAAGGAUUGAGUUCUUUUAUAUGAAUAAAUUCAUUAUUAGAGAUCAAACUACUCUUUUUUUUUUAUUAAAUUGAUACUUGUUCUCAUUUUCUUUGUCUUUAAUUUUAGUCACGAAAUUUGUAUGUACAAAUUUUUGGUAUACCCAAUGGGACUGAAGAAGAUCUCAUGGUUAAGUAAUUUAUUCGACCAUUAAAAGAAAAUCACCUUGAAAGAACGUCAAAAGAAGUAAUAUCCUUUCUCUGAUUUUGAUGUAUCAGGGAUGUUGAAUAAUUUGUUGCAAGUUAAUUCCAUUGAAUUGCUAGAGAUAAAACAUUUAGAAAAGGCUAAUCGUACGAAUGAUCCAAACUAUUGUAGGUAUCAUCGAUUGAUUAGUCAUCCUGUGCAAAAGUGUUUCAUCUUCAAAGAUAAGGUUAUGGAGCUACAUACAAUAGGAGAUGUCAUUUUUUAUAAAAAAAAUUUUGCAACUUCAAAUAUGACUACUAUCAAAAGGAUCAAGUCGUAUAUUGGCCUAUCUGCUAUGAUGCUGAAGUUUGGAUCUUUUGAGCCAAUUCAAAUAUUGAGUAAUGCAUCUCUAACUCAAACCUCAUCUCAACUUCAAGUCGAAAACCAGCCAUAUGUUGGAGACAUCAAGCUAAAAGACAAUAAAAAGAAGGUAGAAUCUGAUGAAGGAUAUGCUUUUGUUACUUAUAAAAGGAGUAAAAAUAAGAGAAGAUUAUUUCAAGUCCCAAAGUGAUGUGAAUUUCUCCCACCAGGAAUACAGAUACUGUUGGUGAUACAUUCCAAUACUCACAAAAAGCUUGCAUGACACCUAAAUGGCAGUCAUAAAUAAAGAGCAAAGUGUAUAUAGAAUGGUGAAGUCAUUUACUCUUCAAGAGAUACUUGUUGCUUGCUAGUAUAUCUUCUAUUUAUUUUCAAUAGCAUUUCAUGAAGACUCACUAGAUAAGGUAGAAAAUGACUUCCAUAAUACUUUUUCCCAAUGAAUACGACGUUAUAAAAGUAGCAAAUCAUGAGUAAAACUUGUUAAAGUGUAUCGUCUACAAGUCGUUAAAUAUCGAGAAUAUUAUUAUUAUCUUUAUUAAAAUAAAAUUUAAAUAAAAAUAAAAAUAAUCCAAUUAAUUACAAUAAAAAAAUAAUUUAUCAUUUGAUCAAUGUCUUCUUUUAUCUUUCAUAUUAUUUCAUCUUUAUAUAUAUAUAUAUAUAUAUAUAUNNNNNNNNUAUAUAUAUAUUUAUUUAUUAUAUUGUAUUGUCACAUGACAGUCUUAAUAGAAAAAAUAUAUUAUUAUACUACCUCAGUCUUUAUAAUUGAAUGAUUAUUUUUUUAAUGAUUUUCAAAACUAAAACCCUUACUAUAGUAUUUAUUUAUUUUUAUCAAAGAUAAUAAAUAAUAUUAUUUUUCCUUAGACACGUAAUAAAUAUUAUUAGGUUAAAGAGAUAGAUUAGACACUGUACAUGCACGGGUUUGUUUUAGGUAAGCCGAUUAGGAGUCGAUACAACCAUUCAGGCAAUAACUAGGUUGUAAUUAAUUAGCUUGAUUUAAAUUUGAAUCUAAUUCUAAUUAAUGGUUUAAUAGCUUAAUCCAAACCCGACUUGUUUUGGUCUUUGUCUAUCAAAUCAUUAUAUUAAAAAAAUAAAAUUAUAGAAAACCAAAUCAAAUUUAAGAUUAACUCAAAAAUAAAUUAAAAUGAACUAGAAAUUAACUGAUCUAAUUCUAUUUAGUCUUAGUUAAAUAUUGUUAUUGAUAAGCUGGUUUUUAGAUUAUAUACAUAAAAGCAAGUAAUUAAAAAGAGUUAUUUUAUUAUUUAAAAUGUAUGUGCACAUAAAAUUAAUGUAAUUUUUAAAAGUAAUAAUUAUUUCUUUUUGAAAUGAAAAUCGAGUGAUGAGAGAGCAGAACAUAAAAUUUCUCAUAUUUAGUAAAAUAUAUUUAUUAUCAGAUUAAACCUUUAAAUGUGAAAAAUAAUAAUUAUUAUAAAUUAGUAUUUAUUUUUUUACUGUUCACCAAUUUUGCAUACGAAAAGUUAAAAAAAAAAAAAGUGAUAUAAUGGGUAUCGGCCAUUUAGGUGGCGCCCCAAUCAAUCUCUUAAUUACCAACUUUACUCAUUGUUUAUAUGUAUAUAUGUUUAGUGAAACCAAGAAUAAUCUGCAGAAAGACUUGGAAAGCCUAGUUGGUAGCAGCUACAAAUGGCAGUGAUACCUGAAAUAACUCUAAGCUCCUGUGGGAAAACGAUGCCGGUGAUCGGCAUGGGAACAUCACCGUAUCCUCCAACUGAUAAAGAAACAACAAAAACUGCCCUUAUUGAAGCCAUUAAAGCAGGCUACCGCCACUUCGACACUGCGUUGGCGUACAGAUCAGAAGAGCCUCUUGGGGAAGCAAUAUCUGAGGCCUUGCGUCUGGGUCUGAUCAAAUCUAGAGAUGAACUCUUCAUCACUUCCAAGCUAUGGAGCAGCUUCGCUGACAAAGAUAUGGUGGUGCCUGCCAUCAGGAUGAGCCUAAGGUAAUCAUCACAGGCCCUUAAACUCAUUUCAGAUCCUGCAGAGUUUAUUAUUUUUAUUGGUUUUGGUUGUAGGAAUCUUCAGCUGGAAUACUUGGAUUUGUACCUUAUACAUUGGCCAUUCAAAUUGAGCCAAAACGUUCGUUCACUGCCAACUACAAGAGAAAAUAUAUUUCCUUUGGACAUUAAAUCUGUGUGGGAAGGCAUGGAAGAAUGCAAAACUCUUGGCCUUACUAAGGCUAUUGGUGUCAGCAAUUUUUCUUGUAAGAAACUCGAGGAGCUUCUCUCCACUGCUAAAAUUCCUCCACCCGUAAAUCAGGCGAGUGGAAAGUUAUAUCAGAGUUUUAUAAAUCUAAUGCUAGACCAGAU
rnacentral:lncRNA from 1 species